ensembl:lncRNA
CUGGAUCAAGGAGGGUGUCAGAACUCUCUUUCCAUCUUUCAAGGUUUAUUUGAUUCUGUUUAGCUUCAUUCUCAAACAGGUAGCGAGAUGGCUGCUGGUAGUGCCAAACCAUCACUACUGUGUAUCUUAUAAUGAGACAGAAAGAAAAAAAGAUGGUGAGAGGGAAGGAAGAGAGAGACCGUCUUUCUUCUAACGUCCAUAUAAUAAACAUGAAGGAACUUAUUAACUCACAGGGCUAUCCCUGGACCAAUCACUGGGGCCAAAGGAAUAUAGACCUUGGAUUGGCCAGUCUUGGGUCUUCUGCCAAGACCCAAACCACAGGGACUGAGCUGGACUGGGGAGAGGAGGAAUAAUUUCCCACAGGAAGACAGGUCAAGCAACGAAAAUGUGCCUGCCACACCCUAGAAGGCUGCAGAACAUGAGGACAUGAGCCAUGUAGGACGUGAGGAUGACACCAGGGUUCCAGUGCAAACUGAGGCUUAAGGGCACCUUCCAAGAAACCAGGAGCAAAGAGUGCAAGGAACUGGAGUUUUUGGAGGGCCUAGUAUGUGUUGACCCAAGAACCCAGAGCUACUUGGAAGUGGCAGAAGCUGGGCUUCUGUGUGUUUUAGUUCCAAAGUCCAUGCUGUUAGCACUGGAAGGACUAAUCAAAGACAGAAGGGCUGAGACAGAGAGGAGCUUUAUUCUUGUAAUAGUGAGAGAUGUCCAGGAGGCACCAUGGAGGGGGCACUUGUCCCAGCCUGGGAACAGAAAUCAGAGAAGCCUUUCUGAUCCCACUACUGGGUAUCUAUCCAGAGGAAAGGAAGUCAUCAUAUGAAAAAGAUACUUGCACACGCAUGUUUAUAGCAGCACAAUUCGCAAUUGCAAAAGUAUGGAACCAGCCUAACGCCCAUCAAUUGAUGAGUGGAUAAAGAAAAUGUGGUAUAUAGGCCAGGUGCGGUGGCUCAUGCCUGCAGUCCCAUCACUUUGGGAGGCCAAGGCGGGUGAGACACCUGAGGUUGGGAGUUCGAGACCAGCUUGGCCACCAUGGAGAAACCCCGUCUCUACUAAAAAAACAAAAUUAGCCAGGUGUAGUGGUGCAUGCCUGUAAUCCCAGCUACUCAGGAGGCUGAGGCAGGAGAAUCGCUUGAACCUGGGAGGCAGAGGUUGCGGUGAGCUGAGAUCACGCCAUUGCACUCCAGCCUGGGCAACAAGAGGGAAACUCUGACUCAAAAAAAAAAAGAGAAAGAAAGAAGAGAAAAGCAAAUGUGGUAUAUAUAUAAUCCCAGCACUUUGGGAGGUUGAGACAGGAGGAUCACUUGAGCCCAGGAGUUGGAGACCAGCACAGGCAAUAUGGUGAGACUCUGUCUCUACAAAAAAAAAAAAAAAAAAAAUGUUUUCUUUAGCUGGGUAUAGAGGCUUGUGCCAUGGUCGCAGCUAUAGGGGAGGCUGAGGCAGGAGGAUCACUCGAGCCUGGGAGGUCAAGGCUGCAGUGAGCCAUGUUCAUGCCAUUGCACUCCAGUCAGGGUGACAGAGUGAGAUUCUGUCUCAAAAAAAAAAAAAAAAAAAAAA